GUGGGGAAUAUUCCGCAAUGGACGAAAGUCUGACGGAGCAACGCCGCGUGAGUGAUGAAGGUUUUCGGACUGUAAAGCUCUGUUGUUUAGGACGAAAGUGCCUGUUGCGAACAGUUACAGGUAUUGACGGUACUAAACGAGGAAGCCACGGCUAACUACGUGCCAGCAGCCGCGGUAAUACGUAGGUGGCAAGCGUUGUCCGGAAUUAUUGGGCGUAAAGAGCAUGUAGGCGGAGAUUUAAGUCUGUUGUGAAAAUGCGGGGCUCAACCCCGUAUUGCGAUGGAAACUGAAUUUCUUGAGUGCAGGAGAGGAAAGGGGAAUUCCCAGUGUAGCGAUGAAAUGCGUAGAUAUUGGGAGGAACACCAGUGGCGAAGGCGCCUUUCUGGACUGUGUCUGACGCUGAGAUGCGAAAGCCAGGGUAGCGAACGGGAUUAGAAACCCCAGUAGUCC
rnacentral:rRNA from 1 species